rnacentral:rRNA from 1 species
GAUGAACGCUGGCGGCGUGCCUAAUACAUGCAAGUCGAGCGAACAGACGAGGAGCUUGCUCCUCUGACGUUAGCGGCGGACGGGUGAGUAACACGUGGAUAACCUACCUAUAAGACUGGGAUAACUUCGGGAAACCGGAGCUAAUACCGGAUAAUAUAUUGAACCGCAUGGUUCAAUAGUGAAAGACGGUUUUGCUGUCACUUAUAGAUGGAUCCGCGCCGCAUUAGCUAGUUGGUAAGGUAACGGCUUACCAAGGCAACGCUGCGUAGCCGACCUGAGAGGGUGAUCGGCCACACUGGAACUGAGACACGGUCCAGACUCCUACGGGAGGCAGCAGUAGGGAAUCUUCCGCAAUGGGCGAAAGCUUGACGGAGCAACGCCGCGUGAGUGAUGAAGGUCUUCGGAUCGUAAAACUCUGUUAUUAGGGAAGAACAAAUGUGUAAGUAACUAUGCACGUCUUGACGGUACCUAAUCAGAAAGCCACGGCUAACUACGU